CGUGGCCUAGUGGUUAAGAACUCGGCUACUAACCCAAUGGUCUUGGGUUCAAGCCCGA
rnacentral:tRNA from 1 species